rnacentral:rRNA from 1 species
UACAGAGGUCCCAAGCGUUGUUCGGAUUCAUUGGGCGUAAAGGGUGCGUAGGUGGCGCCGUAAGUCGGGUGUGAAAUUUCGGAGCUUAACUCCGAAACUGCAUUCGAUACUGCCGUGCUUGAGGACUGGAGAGGAGACUGGAAUUUACGGUGUAGCGGUGAAAUGCGUAGAUAUCUGGAGGAAUACCGGUGGCGAAGGCGGCAUCCUGGACCAUAACUGACGCUGAGGCGCGAAAGCUAGGGGAGCAAACGGG